CAUUCUCAUUCUGGAAUUUUCUAAUCUCUCCAUGAAAAAUCUGGAAUUCUGUGUCAACAGAAAUGUGCCUGCUGCACUGACCUGUGUUUCACACAUCAGACUCUAAGUCCCAGGAGGCCGGGGCCCCAUCUGGCCUGUUCACUACUCUAUGUCCAGGGCUCAUCCUGUCUCGGCUGCUCCAGUGCUGAUGAACAAUAUUUUGACCAUAAACACACAUGCCACUGUGGUAAACACCUCGAGAGAAAGGAGCAGUCCUCUCGCUCUUUCUGUUCCCAGACUCAUGCUGAACAGGAGAGAGGACCCUAAGUGUCCAAGCCUCUGUUGUUAAUCAAGUGACUCCUUCAAUGCUACUGUCUCAGGCUGCCUUGCUCAGGGAGUAGUCAGCCAAGAGUCCCGUGGCACAAGAAUGAAUGUCAGAAGCUGCUCCCCAGCUGGAAAACCCAUCUGGAAAAACUCAGAGCCUGAGUUUCUGCCCACCCAGCCUGUGCUGACAGAUCUCCGAUGGACACAUUUUGGUCAACUCUCCUUUCAAGCUGGCAGUGUGAUGUGAACACUCCGACCUGACAAUCAGCAAUACGUCAUGAAAGCAAGAAAACAACCAAGGAUGCUCCCUUCCUUGGUAUUGUAAAUAAAAAAAGAAGAAGAGGAAGAAGAUCAAAGGAGGAGGGUAGAAGAGUGUGUGAGGAGCAAUUCAAAGUCUGUCACUGGACAACAAGUCCAAGUCCAGGUCCAAGGAGGCUGCUACCAUACAGGGAAGGCAGCACCAUUGUUAGACUGGUGAGAGUUCAUGUUCAACUUGGAGUUUGCCCUACACAGCCAACCCAGAACACACAGGUCAGCAAACUGCUGUAAAGGGCCAGGUAAUAAGUGUUCUAGGUUUUGUGAGUUCUAUGAUCUGUGU